GAUGAACGCUGGCGGCGUGCCUAAUACAUGCAAGUCGAGCGAAGCGGGGACGGGUGAGUAACACGUGGAUAACCUCCUAUAAGACUGGGAUAACUUCGGGAAACCGGAGCUAAACCGGAUACUUAUCUAUUGAUCCGCGCUGCAUUAGCUAGUUGGUAAGGUAACGGCUUACCAAGGCAACGAUGCAUAGCCGACCUGAGAGGGUGGUGGGCCACACUGGAACUGAGGCACGGUCCAGACUCCUCCGGGAGGCAGGAGUAGGGAAUCUACCGAAAUGGGGGAAAGCCUGGCGGAGCAAAGCCGCGUGAGUAAUGAAGGUCUUCGGAUCGUAAAACUCUGUUAUUAGGGAAGCGGUAACAAAUCAGAAAGCCACGGCUAACUACGUGCCAGCAGCCGCGGUAAUUC
rnacentral:rRNA from 1 species